rnacentral:rRNA from 1 species
UACCAGCUCCUCGAGUGGUUGGGACGAUUAUUGGGGUUUAAAGCGUUCGUAGCCGGUCGGAAAAGUUCUCCGUUAAAUCCAACGAUCCAAUCGUUGGGCUGCGGGGAAUACUCUUCGGCUUGGGGGCGGGGGAGGUCGACGGUAGUCCCGGGGUAGGGGCGAAAUCCUAUAAUCCCGGGAGGACCACCAGUGGCGUAGGCGGUCGACUAAAACGCGCCCGACGGUGAGGGACGAAAGCUGGGGGAGCGAACGGGAUUAGAUACCCCGGUAGUCCCAGCUGUAAACGAUGCAGGCUAGGUGUUGGGACGGCUACGGGCCGUCUCAGUGCCGCAGGGUAACCAUUAAGCCUGCCACCUGGGAAGUACGGCCGCAAGGCUGAAACUUAAAGGAAUUGGCGGGGGAGCACCACAAGGGGUGAAGCUUGCGGUUUAAUUGGAGUCAACACCGGGAACCUUACCAGGAGCGACAGUUGGAUGAAGGUCAGAUUGAAGGUCUUACCGGACUAGCUGAGAGGAGGUGCAUGGCCGUCGCCAGUUCGUGCCGUGAGGUGUCCUCUUAAGUGAGACAACGAACGAGACCCGCACCAUCAGUUGCCAGCGGUUUCCUUCGGGAUUCUGGGCACACUGAUGGGACUGCCUCCGCUAAGGAGGAGGAAGGAGCGGGCCACGGCAGGUCAGUAUGCCCCAAAUCUCCUGGGCCACACGCGAGCUGCAAUGGCUGGUACAAUGGGAUCUGACCUCGAGAGAGGAAAGCAAUCCUCAAAACCAGCCUCAGUUGGGAUCGAGGGCUGAAACCCGCCCUCGUGAACAUGGAAUCCCUAGUAACCGCGUGUCAUCAUCGCGCGGUGAAUACGUCCCUGCUCCU